rnacentral:rRNA from 1 species
AGCGAACGCUGGCGGCAGGCUUAACACAUGCAAGUCGAGCGGGCAUCUUCGGGUGUCAGCGGCGGACGGGUGAGUAACGCGUGGGAACGUGCCUUCUGGUUCGGAAUAACUCAGGGAAACUUGAGCUAAUACCGGAUACGCCCUUUUGGGGAAAGGUUUACUGCCGGAAGAUCGGCCCGCGUCUGAUUAGCUAGUUGGUGGGGUAACGGCCCACCAAGGCGACGAUCAGUAGCUGGUCUGAGAGGAUGAUCAGCCACACUGGGACUGAGACACGGCCCAGACUCCUACGGGAGGCAGCAUUGGGGAAUAUUGGACAAUGGGGGCAACCCUGAUCCAGCCAUGCCGCGUGAGUGAUGAAGACCUUAGGGUUGUAAAGCUCUUUUAUCCGGGACGAUAAUGACGGUACCGGAGGAAUAAGCCCCGGCUAACUUCGUGCCAGCCGCCGCCGUAA